GGCUCAGGAUGAACGCUAGCGGCAGGCUUAAUACAUGCAAGUCGUGGGGCAGCAGGCUUGUAGCAAUACAGAUGCUGGCGACCGGCAAACGGGUGCGGAACACGUACAGAACCUUCCUUUGAGCGGGGAAUAGCCCAGAGAAAUUUGGAUUAAUACCCCAUAGUAUAAUGAAGUGGCAUCACUUUAUUAUUAAAGAUUUAUCACUCGAAGAUGGCUGUGCGGCUGAUUAGGUAGUUGGCGGGGUAAAGGCCCACCAAGCCUGCGAUCAGUAACUGGUGUGAGAGCACGACCAGUCACACGGGCACUGAGACACGGGCCCGACUCCUACGGGAGGCAGCAGUAAGGAAUAUUGGUCAAUGGAGGCAACUCUGAACCAGCCAUGCCGCGUGGAGGAUGAAGGUCCUCUGGAUUGUAAACUUCUUUUAUAUGGGACGAAAAAAGGCUUUUCUAAGUCGUCUGACGGUACCAUAUGAAUAAGCACCGGCUAACUCCGUG
rnacentral:rRNA from 1 species